UACGUAGGGUGCGAGCGUUGUCCGGAUUUAUUGGGCGUAAAGAGCUCGUAGGCGGUUUGUCGCGUCGGCCGUGAAAUCUCCACGCUUAACGUGGAGCGUGCGGUCGAUACGGGCAGACUUGAGUUCGGUAGGGGAGACUGGAAUUCCUGGUGUAGCGGUGAGAUGCGCAGAUAUUAGGAGGAACACCGGUGGCGAAGGCGCCACUCUGGGCCGAAACUGACGCUGAGGAGCGAAAGCAUGGGUAGCAAACAGG
rnacentral:rRNA from 1 species